rnacentral:lncRNA from 1 species
CUUUAUUCUGUGUCUCUGUGUGUUGUGUGUUCUGUGUGUUCUCUGUGACAUCAGAAAUGGGCUAGAAAGGAGGAUUCUUUCAUGGGCUCCAUGACAUUAGGUCAUUCCCAUAUCUCAGUUUUCCUGCCUAAAAGUGGGACUUAUAAACCCUCCCUUGCUCAGAUGUUAGGAUGGGAGGAUUAAGAUUGCAAACAUUAUUGCUGUGCCUUUCAGCUAAAAGAUUAUGAGCAAUUUAAGGAUCAGAAUGGGGUCUGUAUAAUCUCUGUUGCAUCAUGCCUAACAUAAGCCCACAGGGAACCUUCAUAUAUAAUUAACAUUUUCUGCAUCAGAGAGGAGGGAAUCAGAGUGAUGAAGAAGAAAAGGAACUUGACAGCUUAGAGUAUGGAAAAAGUUUGCUUUCAGAGCAGUCUACAGUGUGAAAAUUGCAGAAAUCCUCUGUCUUUCACACACACCACAGCCAGAACCAGGGGGAAUCACCUCUCUCUUUUAGACAUAUUUCAUGAAGUGAUUUGUCAGUGCUUUCAAGAACAUGUUGCUUCCAGGAUAGAUUUCCUUGUGUAUGCCCUGGAUCUGGAACUAACACCACUGCCAACUUCAUCUUCCUCAGUUCCACUGCCACUUCUUUGCAUGAGAAAUAAGAAGUCAAGAAAUGUGGAGUGAUCAUCCAUAAAUGGUUUUACCUGCAUCACCAAUGAGACUAAGAUGGCUGCAGUAUAGAAGGAACUUCAUGCCUCUUCCUACUACCAAUCACAACAAAGCAUCUCAAAAGGACAAAAAUCAAAACCAGACAUGAAGGUAGGCAGGGUUUGGGCAUUUCCAUGCUAUAAGGGGGUAAAAUUAUACCUACCAAAGUAUGAGCUGAUCACUCCCACACAUACCAUCUUAUGGUGCCAGAAUCAGAGUGAAGGCUGGAGCAAUAUCUAAAUUCCUGGGAGCUGGCUGAGGGCACCACAGUCUUAUCCCUGAGAACAAUGCAAAGCCUUGGCAGCAAGACUUGGGACCCCUGGAAUAAAGGAACAGAGAUAGUACA